UCGCGCGUCACUGACUCAUCAUUACCGUAAGCCUUCAGUUGAGUCAGAAGCGAUGAAACCUGGUUGCAAAAGUUACUCGUCUUUGUUUUUUCAUUUUUACAACGACGAUAAUAUUCAAGAUGGCAACAACAACCACUGAGAAUGGAGGUGGAGGAACCAGUGGGUCAAAAGAUUACAAAAAGCCCACAGCUGCUGCACUGAAAGGAGCCAUCCAGCUGGGCAUUGGGUAUGCUGUGGGGAACCUGACAUCCAAGCCUGACAGAGAUGUGCUCAUGCAGGAUUUCUACAUGGUGGAGAGUGUCUUUCUACCCAGUGAGGGGAGCAACAUGACCCCAGCGCACCACUUCCCAGACUUCCGCCUCAAAACCUACGCUCCUCUCGCCUUCCGCUACUUUAGGGAGCUCUUUGGCAUCAAAGCAGAUGACUACCUGUACUCCAUCUGUAAUGAGCCUCUGAUCGAGCUGUCCAACCCCGGGGCCAGCAGUUCCUGGUUCUACCUGACCAGCGAUGAUGAGUUCAUCAUUAAGACUGUGCAGCAUAAAGAGGCUGAGUUCCUGCAGAAACUCCUUCCUGGUUACUACAUGAAUCUGAAUCAGAACCCGAGGACACUGCUACCGAAGUUCUACGGCCUGUACUGCAUCCAGUGUGCUGGGUUCAACACCCGUCUGGUGGUGAUGAACAAUGUGUUGCCCAGGGCCCUCCAGAUGCACUACAAAUACGACCUGAAGGGCUCCACCUACCAACGCCAUGCCUCGUGCAAGGAGCGUGCCAAGUUCUCGCCCACCUUCAAAGACCUCGACUUUCAGGAGAUGCUUGAGGGCCUGCACUUUGAUGGCGACACGUACAGUGCCUUAAUGAAGACACUGCAGAGGGACUGCAAGGUCCUGGAGAGCUUUAAGAUCAUGGACUACAGUCUCCUGCUGGGGGUGCAUGUGCUGGACAAGAAGUGUCUGGACAGGGGGGUCGGGGCGGACAGUAAGCGCCUCAAUGGCCAGAGGGUCCUCUACUCCACUGCCCUGGAGUCCAUCCAAGGGGAAGGGGACGGCAAGGUUGCAGAGCCAGUGGCAGAUGAUGACACAAUGGGUGGAAUUCCAGCUAAACACAAAGAUGAGAAGCUGCUGAUCUUCUUAGGGAUUAUUGACAUCCUCCAGUCCUACAGGUUCAUCAAGAAGGUGGAGCACUCCUGGAAAGCCCUCGUACACGAUGGGGAUACAGUGUCAGUUCACAGGCCCAGUUUCUAUGCAGACAGAUUUCUGAAGUUCAUGGGCGGCACUGUAUUCAAAAAGAUCCAUCCUGUAAGAGGAGCAUCCUCCAAGAGGAAGAGGAGCUCCAUCCAUGCGAUGAGGUCAGCCUCCCAGGAGGUGCUGUCCCCCCAAAAGGAGGAGAAGAAGGACGAGAGAAAGGCCCAAAGCAUGGAGAGCCUGAACGGACAAUGUAGUCACCUUUCAUAAAAAAACGACACAACCCACAAUCUAUUGGGCCUGGACACAAACACACUUCUCACGUCAUGCACUCUCUGCUUUAUCCUUUGAGGUUUUUUUUUGUAUUUCUCUGUUUUGUUCAACAGUAAUGAGUUCCUACAAGCAACCUGACCUAGUCCUACUCCCUAAAUGUUUAAAUCAGGCUGUUUCCUCAUCCUCCUCCACUCUUGAGAAGAUCAAGAAAGACCUUGAGGAGCACCUUGAGGAGCACCUGGAGAAUAGUGAUAACCGUCGUGACUCCAGUGCGACUGUGGCCCUGGAAAACACUGUCCCCUCUCUCCAUACCAAAGGCAGCCCAGACUCUGUACACAUUGUCUACUUGGUGGGUGUACAAGAUACACAAUGCAUUUAUUUAGGAGUCAUUAUCUGCUUAAUAGUGUCUAUGACAUCAUCACUUCUGCUUGUCUCCUUUUCAAUGUGUCUCUGUGACAGCCGCAUCAUUUUUGUUCUUCUCUAUUACCAAUCCUCUGUGUGAAAUCCCUGUCUGUUUGCUAAUCUAUGCCAUCAUCACCAACAGUGCUCCCCUCUGUUACAUCACUGAUUCUCAACCUCUUAUGUUCUAGUGAAGAAUGAUGGAAGAAGAUGAAAAGUCUCUUCCAACAGCACCACUAAAUAGACAAUGACCUCUCUAAGCAUCAACUGCACACGAAACACUAUUAUGACAGCGCUCCAAUACAGACGGUCCUGCCUUUGAAGUCAUGACCUGCACUAUGAAGCAGCUUUCUCCUGCUACCGUACACUUUGCUGCUACUUUAAAAUCAGGGACAAUCCUAAGGUUUUCAAAUGGAGAUUACUAGAAACAGUCACCUUGUGGAGCAUGUCAAAUCACUUCUAUUCAAUGCUUCUCUAUGUGAUUGUUUCAGGAUUUUAAUGUUUAAAUGUCACUCAUAAUAAUGUUCAAAUCGCUGA